UACGUAGGUGGCAAGCGUUGUCCGGAUUUACUGGGCGUAAAGAGCGCGCAGGCGGUCGUUCAAGUCGCGUGUGAAAGCCCCCGGCUCAACUGGGGAGGGUCACGCGAUACUGAUCGACUCGAAGGCAGGAGAGGGUAGUGGAAUUCCCGGUGUAGUGGUGAAAUGCGUAGAUAUCGUGAGGAACACCAGAGGCGAAGGCGGUUACCUGGACAGUUACUGACGCUCAGGCACGAAAGCAUGGGGAGCAAAAGGG
rnacentral:rRNA from 1 species